ACUUGAAUAGCUUAUUAUUUAGAGCGCGACACUGAAGAUGUCGAUGAGGUAAUUAAUACCUUUGGGUA
rnacentral:tRNA from 2 species